UACGUAGGCAGCGAGCGUUGUUCGGAGUUACUGGGCGUAAAGGGUGUGUAGGCGGUUUUCUAAGUUUGGUGUGAAAUCUCCCGGCUCAACCGGGAGGGUGCGCCGAAAACUGGGAGACUAGAGUGCGGGAUGGGAGAGUAGAGUUCCUGGUGUAGCGGUGAAAUGCGUAGAUAUCAGGAGGAAUACCGGUGGUGUAGACGGCUCUCUGGACCGCCACUGACGCUGAGACACGAAAGCGUGGGUAGCAAACAGG
rnacentral:rRNA from 1 species